CCUGCAUCAGUCAGGAGUGUAUUCAACUUAAGAAAAUGGAGCAUGUGACCAGAAGCCUGAGGAGGCGGUGAUUGUGGUGAUCUGUCACCGAAGUCCAGCCCCCGUCCCUCAGGGGGCUUUCUCCCCCUCCCCCUUUCCAGCACUUGAUCCUCUGCCAGCUGCUCUCCUGUGGGUCUGCAAGAGCCCAACUGUUGGGAGAACAAUUUGAUUUAUCCUCUGGUCUCCACGGGUUGUGAGCAGCACACGUGUUCCCUGCCAGAGCGAUCGUGUACGUGUCUGAAGGACAAAGAGGGGCAGGCUGGCUGUCUACCCUGGGGUCCCAGGCCAAGCAGUGAAAGAACGGCCUAACGAGGGGCACAGGCACAACCACAGUGGAGAUGGUCUGAGAAGGCCUCGCAGCACAGAUGCUGAGGGGGAUGCAGCGACCUCCUGAAGGGAGGCUGGAGGCAGUUUCCACACAGAAGAAAAGAAAAUGACCGGUAAGGGGGCUUGUGGCAGAGGAAGUGACUGACAGUGAGGGGCAUGCUGGAUCUGGACUGUGCUGACACGGCCACGGACACGGAUACCAGGGCCUACGAGCGCUGACCUUGAGCUGGGUCUGAAACAGAGACGGCACCUUGAAAUGACCACAUGCCAUCGAAGUUCUCCAUAAGUGCGGGACGGGUGGUGCAGCGCUGUGUAUAAUUCAAGCUGCAAUUAUGAAUUUUGGUUGGGCCUCUGCCUGUGAUAUGAGGCUGACCAAAGAACAAGUCUGUCAUUUGUUUCCGGUAUGUGUUUAGAAAAUAAGCUAGGCUACAAAAUCAUAGGAUUAGCUGAGCUCUUCCUUCCUGGGAGAAAAGUACAGGAUAGAGGCUGUGAAGGAAACACAAGGGCAGCCAUCCUGGACUCGAUACAGGGGGCUGUCACAUUGGACUGUUCUGCAAACACCACCAGUGACAUUUGACCCAGAGCUGUCAAUGCCUGUUGGCUGCUGGCCCCUGCUGAUGGGCCCGCUCACUCUUUCAGAAAGGUGUGAAGUGGUGUGGCUGAUACAGGCUGGAACACUGACCUGAUAAAUCUGUCGCUGAAGAAUCCCAGGGAACCUUAGGAGAAGUAGGGUUGGGGCAAUAGUUCUGCAUCUUGUGGAGAUGCUCUCCCACUGAAUGUUUCUGCUCUAUGUGCCCAUUAGGAACAGAACUCUUCAGGCUGACUUCAGCCUGGCUGGAUGCAGAAAUACCCUCAACAGAGAUCCCAGAGUAUUCAGCCAAGAGCCUGCCUCUCUGUAUUACCCAUGCCUUUUGUUUUUUGUAUUCUGAUGCUUUGACAUCAGGGGUCUUGCUGACCCUGGAGGGGCUGCCCCUCCCAGGGCCAACCAAUCCCUGGAGAUAGCAAAGGGCUCACCUGCAAGCUGCAAGCAUGCCUUUCCUAUGCAAACCAACCGAAGCAGGGCCCAGCCUCUCAGCAGCUCCUCUAUGGGGCUUUUACAUUCUAGGCCACUGUCCCCUGCCUUCAUCACCCCAGGACCAGGUACAGAUUAAGAACAGCCCUAUGCCCCAGAGCCUGUUGAAAUUUAUUCAGACUAGCCAAUCCUAAGCCUUUUUACCCUGCCUCACACACUUCUCACAAAAACCACAAUGAAGGCUCUGGCCCAUAGCCCCCUUCCUUCUGCCUUCUGGCCCACCGUGGUGCUUCCCUAUAUGGCCCACUCGGUGCGAUGCAGCCCCUCCUCAUGGGAACUGUGAGUAACAAGCUGUCUUUUUCAUGGCAGUUGUCUCCUGAUCUGUUGGCCCCAUCACACCUGAAUCAUAAUAAAACCUAUAUUAUAUUUUAAUUUGUGUUUUUUUAAAUCCUAGACAUUUAAUCGUACAUUUUGCAUCUGUUUCCUAAAUGACAAUACUACACUGCAGAGAAUAAUAAUUAUAUGUGGUCAGAAUGCCUCUUGUUCCAUAACGCUAAGCUAAUAUUGGUAGAAUUAUUUACUUGAACUCAGGUCUUCAGCACCAUGCUGCUAAAUUAGAAGUUCCUUGACUCAUUAAAAAUAACCUCAGUUUAGAUUUUCCAUUUAAUGCAGCAGUUAAUUUAGAAGGUCUUAAAUGAAAUUUGUUUGUGUCUUGAAAUUACUGGUUGUUUACAUUUUAAUUGAUACUUUACUGCCAUUUACGGUGUUCAGAAAAUAUGGCCUGUUGAAUUUCUGUCUCUAAUUCAGUAACAGUUUUUAGUCCUAAAAACUUUCCAUUUAACAUAUUAAUACUUUUGUCUGGUAUUUGAAAAGAAUUCACAUCUUCUAUUUAUUGGUUAAAAAUGCUGCCCAUUUAUUUCUAUGAUUAAUUAGUCAAACUUUCUAAUAAAAUUAUAUAACACUCUUUGUGUUCAUUUAUUUGCUGUACACCAAAACCCA
rnacentral:lncRNA from 10 species